GCUGACAAUGAUGUAAAUGUAUAAUAAUUAGCAAAGAUGAUUAAUUUAGCGCUGUAAAUGCUCGUGUGCUGGCAGGAGACGCGCUGCGAGGACCAAACACAGCAGAACGGUAUGAAACUUCACUCCUUUCAUUAUUUCUCUUUUACUAUAGCGAUUUAUUUUUAGAUACGUGAUCUGAGUCUUUCAUAUAGCUGUAGAUUUAAUAGAGAAAUAGUUAUUUUUUACAUUCUUUGGUAAAGUUUUCAGCUCGGGACCUCGGAGCCUGUUUGCGACUCGGUUGAUUUAGAUCGGCACUUCGGAGCCUGUUCGCGACUCAGUUGAUUCAGAUCGGCACUUCGGAGCAUGUUCGCGACUCGUGUGAGGGGCGGAGACGGCGUGAGGACCAAACACAGCAGAACGUUUUCAGAUCGGGACUUCGGAGCCUGUUCGCGACUAGGUUGAUGGGUUUAUUCAGAUCGGCACUUCGGAGCCUGUUCCACCUCGGUUGAUUCAGAUCGGCAAUUCGGAGCAUAUUCGCGACUAGGUAAAUCUUUAUCCUUUUUUUUUUAUAAGAAAUUGUAUUCUUUAUUAGAUUUUAGAAUCUUUUAUUCAGGAUGUGUUAAAUUGAUAAGAAGUGAAAUCAAAGAUUAAUAUUAUUAGAAGAGAUUCAUAUUUGGAAUAAACGCUGUUCUUUAAAAAAAAUUAUACAUGGAAGAAUCCUGAAAAAAGUAUCGUAGAUUCCAAAAUAAUAUUUGAUUCAGAUCGGCAUUUCGGAGCAUGUU